CCGCGCUCGCUCCGCGCUCGCCGCCCUGUAACUUGUGUUCUGGGAAGUGGUGCCAGGAAUAGCCCGGCAGAUCCGCCUGCAGCCCGGAGCGCUCCCUCCCGCCUCGGCCAGGGCGGGCUGCGGCUCCCGGGCCUCCGCCUCUCUCUCCCCCGUGCAACACCAGCCCCUCCGGCACUGUCAGGGUGACGGUGAUGAUCCUUUCCAAAGAGAGGGAGAGAAAUGACCUGCCUUAAGAUAAAUGCGUGAAGCGGGCGCCCCUUGGCCGCUGGAAUAUCUCUGUCUGUCUUUAUAUAUAAAGAAGCACCGCGAGCCACCUCACUCCAGGCAAGCCCUUAGCAAAGGAGCAACAAGAGCGCCCGGCGGGAUCAGCAGCAGCAGCAACAACAACAACAAGGGCACCGGGAGGGCUUCCCUCCUUCCUCCUCGGUGACUUCCCAGUUCUGUCCUAAUAUGCUUACGGAGUCUGAAAAAUGCAACUCUAAUAUACAAGAAAUUUCAGCCUGCACACAAAAAAUUGUAAAGAAUAUCUCUGUUCUUAAAAAUGUGGGACCCUCUUCUGAUAUGUGAUCUACAGCGAGCUACUUUGAAUCGUACGAUGACAAUGUUAUCACUGCCACAUCUCUGGGAACCAGUUAUUCAUAAGUAUACGGUGGAAGAGAGAGUCAACAGCCAUAUUUGCUGGAGCGGUGAACCAAAUUGCCUUGACUGGAACCAUUACUCACUUGCACCUUUGACAGCAGCAGCCAGGAAAUUUGAAGCUAGUCAUGCCUAUUAGAUGCCUAGAAGAUGCAGAUAGCUGUGUCACCAUGGAAGAGAUGAAGAGAACUUUGCUCUAGUAGAUCACAAGUAUCUCUGGGUCAUUCUGCAUCUCAGUAUUUAAUAACAAUGGAAAAAGUCCAAAUGCUAUAACAAGUCUUUGCAAAUGUAUAAUAAACUGUUUAGGAAAGUUCCUGCCAUGAACAGAACUGUAUAAUACUCACAUU
rnacentral:lncRNA from 1 species